UCCCGACAGUGGUUGUUGGCAGCUGUGUAGUACCUGGAGUAGGUGUUGGCUGUGAUGUACCGACAGUGGUUGUAGACUGUUGUGUAGUACCUGGAGUAGGUGUUACCUGUGUAGUACCUGCAGUAGUUGUUUGUUGUGAUGUACCGACAGUGGUUGUAGACUGCUGUGUAGUACCUGUAGUAGGUGUUGGUUGUGGUGAUUCUGUUGUUGUAGACUGCUGUGUACUACCUGGAGUAGCGGUUGGCUGUGUAGUACCUGCAGUAGUUGUUUGCUGUGAUGUUCCGACAGUGGUUGUAGACUGAUGUGUAGUACCUGGAGUAGGUGUUGGUUGUGAUAAUGUCGUUGUUGUAGACUGCUGUGUACUACCUGGAGUAGGUGUUGGUUGUGUUGUACCAACAGUGGUUGUUGGCUGCUGUGUAGUACCUGGAGUAGGUGUUGGUUGUGUUGUACCAACAGUGGUUGUUGGCUGCUGUGUAGUACCUGGAGUAGGUGUUGGCUGUGAUGUACCAACAGUUGUUGUUGGCUGUUGUGUAGAUCCUAGAGUAGGUGUUGGCUGUGAUGUACCGAUAGUAGUUGUAGACUGUUGUGUAGUACCUGGAGUAGGUGUUACCUGUGUAGUACCUGCA